rnacentral:lncRNA from 1 species
UCAAAAAAAAGAAAAAUUACUGGUGAAAAGGCCAUCUUCCAGAAUACCAUGAGAGACAAGGUUUCCCUCUGUAACCCAGGCUGGAGUGCAGUGGAACUUCUGAGCUCAAGUAGUCUUCACAUCUCAGCCUUCCAAGUAGCUGUGACUAGAGCUUGUGACAGUCCAGCCCCUUCAGCCUGGAGUUCCACCUACCAGUCCCCACAUGUGCUGUCUCUCACCAAGGUUGCCAGUGACCUCUGACCAAAACAAUCUUUGGCUCCCCAUCACUGGCCUGUCCUAUGGGAAAACAUUUGCAUUCCUUAACUCAGCCUAGAAGGCCUCUGUGACUUGCUGUCUACUUAUCUGGCCCUUCUCAUGCUUCCUUUCUGGCUGUAGCAACCUUGAAGAUAUCGUACUUCCCCAAA